UCCAGACUCCUACGGGAGGCAGCAGUGGGGGAUAUUGCACAAUGGGGGGAACCCUGAUGCAGCGACGCCGCGUGGGUGAAGGAGUGCUUCGGCAUGUAAAGCCCUAUCGGCAGGGAAGAAGCAAGACGGUACCUGACUAAGAAGCCCCGGCUAACUACGUGCCAGCAGCCGCGGUAAUACGUAGGGGGCGAGCGUUGUCCGGAAUUACUGGGCGUAAAGAGAGCGUAGGCGGCACUACAAGUCUCAUGUGAAAUACCCGGGCUUAACGUGGGGGUUGCAUGGGAAACUGUAGAGCUUGAGUACAGGAGAGGCAAGCGGAAUUCCUAGUGUAGCGGUGAAAUGCAUAGAUAUUAGGAGGAACACCAGUGGCGAAGGCGGCUUGCUGGACUGAAACUGACGCUGAGGCUCGAAAGCGUGGGGAGCAAACAGGAUUAGAUACCCCAGUAGCA
rnacentral:rRNA from 1 species